rnacentral:ncRNA from 1 species
AUUUUAGCUCAUCACGAUAAAACUUCUCCCUGUCCCGACACCAUAUGGCUUACAGAUGUAAGCUCUAUCUCGGUCCGAGGCUUGUUGUGCAGGACCGUUCUUGUUCCUCGAUUGAUUCUCCGGUUAAUUCCGAGGACGAGCGAGACUUAAGCAUGAUAUAGAGUUUGUCGAUACUUAGGGGUUAGUUAACCUCCCAAAGGGAUAAGCAGAGUUAUGCCGCACGAGAUUUACCGAUAACAGAACUGUGAUGCCCUUAGUGGCCAGAGGUCGCAAGAGUGAUACACUCGUUUUUUCAGGUGGGUUUUUCAAACCUGAAAGGUAUCAGUAAACCGGUGAAAUUAUUCCACGUCCGGGAUAGGGUAUUGUAACCAUUGCCCUUAAAAGAGGAAUGCUUAGUAAGUGUGAGUCAUCAGAUCACAUGUAUUAGGCCCCUCCCCUUCGGACACCCCGCCAGUCGUUAUCCGGGUCUGAACUCAUUU